rnacentral:tRNA from 2 species
GCCCGGGUAGCUCAAUCGGUAGAGCGUGUGGCUCUUACUAGACAAACCUCAAGGUCGCGGGUUCGAGCCCCGCCUCGGGCU